UUUAAUGUGGUGUUAAGCAUUUUACAUUUUGGUUGUAGGGGAGGCUAGUUGCCCAUUAUUU
rnacentral:tRNA from 1 species